GGGUGUUUGGUUUAGUGGUAUAACGGCUGAUCCGCAGGAUUAACUUAAAAUAUAAGUUAUAAUGAGUUUCAGCAGGCCCGGGGUUCGAUUCCCCGAACAUCCA
rnacentral:tRNA from 2 species